CCUACGGGAUGCACCAGUGGGGAAUAUUGGACAAUGGGCAAAAGCCUGAUCCAGCAAUGCCGCGUGUGUGAAGAAGGUCUUCGGAUUGUAAAGCACUUUCGACGGGGACGAUGAUGACGGUACCCGUAGAAGAAGCCCCGGCUAACUUCGUGCCAGCAGCCGCGGUAAUACGAAGGGGGCUAGCGUUGCUCGGAAUGACUGGGCGUAAAGGGCGCGUAGGCGGUUUAUGCAGUCAGAUGUGAAAUCCCCGGGCUUAACCUGGGAACUGCAUUUGAGACGCAUAGACUAGAGGUCGAGAGAGGGUUGUGGAAUUCCCAGUGUAGAGGUGAAAUUCGUAGAUAUUGGAAGAACACCGGUGGCGAAGGCGGCAACCUGGCUCGAUACUGACGCUGAGGCGCGAGAGCGUGGGGAGCAAACAGGAUUAGAUACCCCAGUAGUCA
rnacentral:rRNA from 1 species